rnacentral:lncRNA from 1 species
CUUAACAAAUAAGAAGUUAGAAACUAAUUAGAUGUACAAUUUUUUUAUGCUAAUAUAAUUUUUCUAUUGAAUUUAUUAAAGGAUCUAAUAAUGUUCAUGUUGAUUUUUUUAGCAAACCAAAUAGAUAAGGCAAAAAACCUCUUGCUGUCGGGCUUGCUUCUAUUGGACCUGGAGUUGGUCAAGGUACUGCUGUAGAAGGUAUCGCGAGACAACCCGAGGCAGAGGGAAAAAUACGAGGUACUUUAUUGCUUAGUUUGGCUUUUAUGGAAGCUUUAACAAUUUAUGGGCUGGUUGUAGCAUUGGCACUUUUAUUUGCGAAUCCCUUUGUUUAAUCCUAUAAACAUGAGAAUUGUGUAUUUUUUUUUUCUUAUUUUAUGGCUUGGGACUUACUCCUCGCUUUUUCGAAUUAUAUCAAGAUUUCACCCCUACAAUUACUUAUUUGUUGGGACAAUAAUCCAUGGGAAGGAUUAAUUUGAGGAUGAGGAAUUAUCACACUGACUCGCUUUCUUCCUUCCCCUUCUUAGUUCAAGAGAAACCUUUUAGCAAUAAAGACAAUGAAUCACCAUUCCAAAGAAACAAUAUAAAUAAAAGAUUUCUUCUCAAAAUUCUAAUUUAGGAUUAUCGUAUCCUACUCUUUGUAGACCACAAAUCUCUUAUCUUAGUUCAAGAUAUCUUUAUUCUCCUCAAACAUAUUUUUUUCCCUACAACCUUCACUAUAAUCAAUAAUAGAACUUGUUCAAGUUCCCAACAUUUCUCAAUUUUUGCAUAUCAAAACCAAUGAACACCUAUUUUAUAUUUUGAAAUUCUCGAGAGAACUUCAUAAUAUAGUUUACAUAGUUUAUAAAUAUAAACUAUAUUUUUUUCUAAAACAUAAAUUUCAUAGGUAUUAUUAAACACAUAGAAAAUUUUAAACAACAAACGUGAAUUCUAAAAAUUAAAAAAAAAAAGCUUAAAAUUGAGGAAAUUUAAAAUGUAAUUAUUAAUUCAAUUAAAUAUUCUUUACAAAAAAUUGAAAAUCUGGAAAAUCUAGAAGUAGUUGAAAAUGCCCAAAUUUGACAAGUUUUUUUCUCACACUUUCUCAAAAUCCAAACAAAAUAAGAAAUUGAGGUAAAACAUUUGUGAAUAGUACUCUUAUUGCUCGAAUUUCAAAAGAGUAGAAAAGAAAAGGAUUCGGAUGCGUUAGUUUAUGGAGAAAUUAUCUUUCUCUGAAACCAAAAGGAAACAGCAGAAAGUUUUUAAUUUAAAAAGAGGGAAAAGAAACUAGGGUUUACCGAGAAUCAAAAUUUAUCUUCAAUAGAGAAGGUGACUAAAAUUUUGAGUUGCAAAAGGUUGUUUGUCUUACGUUCGUUCUAUUGAAUGAAAGUGAGAUGAUAAUAAACUGUUGUCUGUUUUAUUGAAAGAAAAGGAAAAUUAAACAAUAUUAAAAAAAAGUAAAGAAAAGAAAUUACUAGAACAUAAUUCUUAUGAAAUUGCAUUUUUUUUUAUUUUGUAAUUUUAUAUCAUGACUUUCAUUUACACAUGGGAUGUGGAAAGAAAGUCAUGUUACAUUCGGGUUCAUGGAAUCUCAUUGAUGAUAUUUUAGGCUUCUUGUUAGACUCUAUGGUAAAAUAUAUAAAUAAUCAUUUAAUUUUGAAUUAAUAUUUGAAAUAUUAUUAGUGUAAAAUUUUGAUUAUAUAUAUAUAUAUAUAUAUAUAUAUGAGAUUAAGAGGAUGACAUAUGUUCUUUAAGAUAUAUUUAAAUAAACAAAAAUUUAAUUAAAAAAAUUAAAAUAUGUAUUACUAUCUUAAUCUUAUUUGUGUAAUUAAAAUUUUAUACUGACAUUAUAUUAAAUACUAACUCUUUAAUUUUAAGGAUUUUUUAAAAUGAUAAUUUAAGCAUUAAUUUUUUAAAUUUAAUUACUUAAAUUUAAAUAAGUGCAUUUUUCACUUUGUUGUUAGUGUCUAACAAUGUAUUGAUGUAACAUUGUCACGUUAAUUGUCAAAUAUCACAAGACAUUGUCAUGUCAAUUAACAAGUCAUGUGACAUUAUAAAUUUUGAACCUGAAUGUAACAUCACUUAAUUUUUAAAAAUUUUUAUUUUGAUCAUUUAACUUUAAAAAUUUAUAAUUUGAUUACUAACAAGUAAAUCCUUAAUUUUUAUAAAAAAAUAAAUAAGAAUUUGAUAUUUUUAUUACAUAAAAUUAAAUUAUUAAAAUUUUAUUUUAUCAUAAUUAUAUCAUUUAAAUUUGAAAAAUGGGUGAAUAUUAUCUAAAUGCCAAAAUCACUAAAAUAACAUUUCUUCAAAUCUUUGUAAUUCAAUCCAUCCAAAUAAAUUCAAGUAUGUAUUUUUAUAUUUCUUAAUGUCAAAAUUCUAAUUACAAGAAAAGUUUAUAAUUUUAAUUUCAUAUAAUAAAAUAUAAAAAAGCAUAGAUCACAUAAAAUUAUUGUAAUUAUAACUUUGUCAUUAUGAAAUAUGAAAUUGAUUAAUAUUUUGGUCAUUAAAAAUUUUAUUACUAUUUUGAUUUUUGGUGUCAAUGUGGUCAUUGUCACUGUGAAUUUAUAAUGAGUUGAUUACUAAUAUUUAUAAAAUUUAAUAUAAUAAAUAUUUUAUUAUUUAUGUUACUUGCUAAAAUAUAUUAGGAUAAUACUUAAAUAAGUUAUUAAAUUUUAUAAAAAGUAGUAAUAAACAUUCAAUAUUUUUAUUACAUAAGAGUAAACUAUGAAUUUUUAUUUUAUUAUAAUUAUAUUAUUUAAAUUUGAAAACUAAAAGAAUUUUAAUCAAUUGUUAAAAUUAUUAAAAUAUUAUUAUUUUAAAUAUUUAUCAAUAGAAAAAUAAAAAAAUAUUAAUCAAUUAUUUCAAAUAAAUUUAAGUAACUAUUUUAACUUUUUAUAUUUUUGUUGUAGUGUUUGUGAAAUUUUUAAUAUUUGAAUGUCAACCUCAACGUAACUUUACAAUGAUUUAAUCACUAGCAGUUUAUGAAAUUUAAUAUAAUAAUUAUUUUAUUUUAUGUUGUUAUGGAUAUUUCCUUUAAUAUUUUAUUACAUGAAAUUAAAACUUUAACAUUAUGAAAUAUGAAAUACUUACUUGAGUUUAUUUGGCUGAAUUGAAUGACAAAAUUUUGAAGUAAUAUUAUUUUAGUAAUUUUUAAAGCGGAUAAUAUUCUUUUAUUUUUUUUAAUUUAAAUGAUAUAAUUACAAUAAAUAAAAAUUAAAAUCUAAUUUUAUGUAAUAAAAAUUUAUUUUUAAUAUUUUAUAAAAUUAAAAUUUUAUUUGUUUAUGGUCAAAUUAUAAAAUUUUAAAAUUGAGUGAUCAAAAUAAAAAUUUUUAAAAAGUUAAAUGACUAAAUUUUAUUUAUUUUUAAAUUUUAUAAUGUUACAUUAACAAUGCCACUCGGCUUGUGAUAUGACAUGGUAGUGCUACGUGGCACUUGACAACUGAUUCAGUAAUAUCAUAUCAGCAUAUUGUUAGUUAUUAAUAGUUAAGUGUCAAAAAAUACUAAUUUAAACUUAAGUGAUUAAAUUGAAAAAAUUAAUAUUUAAAUGAUCAUUUUAAAAAAAUUUUAAAAUUCAGUAAUUAUUUAGGUAUUUUAUCAUAGAAUCUAUAACAUCAAUGAUUUAUAAAUUACAACAUUUAUAACACAUUAUUAAAAGAAUAUUCCGAUAAAUUCAUCAUUUGACACAUGUCUUUUUGGAUAAAAUGAUCGUGGAGGGUAUUGCGAAUUAGGAUUUGAAUUUAUAACAUAGGAAAAGAUCUUUUUCACUAUUUCAAAAUUAGUGAAAGUUUUCAUUAAAGGUGAAUAAUGUACUUCUAAAUAAAUUUAUUAUUGAUAUUUAAUAAUUUUAAAUUAGAUAUAAAGUAAAUAAAAUUUAAUUAAAAAUGUAAAAAUAACUUGAACAAAUAUUAAUUAUAAAUUUAAUUGAAAUUGAAUUUAUCACCUUUAAAUAAAAUAAUGAAAUUUUUACUUAUUUUAAAAUAAUAAAAAUGAUCAUUUCCCAUAUUACAUAAUAACAUACUAUUAAAAGAAUCCCAAAAAAAAUUUCACUUGACAUGUAUCCUUUUGAAUAAAGAAAAAAUUUCUUUUGAUUGUGAAGGGUGUUAAAGGAUUUGGCUUAUUAGGAAUUGAAUUAAAAAAUUUAAUAAAAAUAAACAUGUAAUUAAUGCAAUAUAAAAAUAAAAUUAGAGAAAUUUUGAAAAUUUUAGAAUACUAAACAUUUGAAUAUGUAUAUUUAUCUUAUAAAUGAAUCUUAAUUAUAACUUUCAUUUUGUUGACAAGUAUCUUGAGAUACAUAUGGGUUUGUGGACAAUUUAAUAUUUUUACAAGAGUAAAUAAAUUUUUUUUGUAAUUUUUUAGAUAUUAUUAGAUGAAAUUAUUUUUUAAGAUUGUUAAUGUAAUUGAACUAUUGCAAUAAUAUUAACUUCUAUAAAUUUUUUAAAUAAAAUUAAAUAAUUAUUAAAUUUAAUUGAACAAUUUUGAUAUAUCGAUAAGAGUAGAUUGUUUUUUUGAUAAUUUUUAAAUUGUAAAUGGGAUUGAAUUAUUAAAAACUCUUAAUAUUACUAAAAACUUUUAAUUUUUAAGAAAGUUAUUAAUAUUCAAUAAUUAUCAAAUUUAAGUGAGUAAUUUUGGUAAUUAUACAAUAAUAAAUAUUUUUUUAUAAUUUUUCAAAAUUGUUAAUGGAAUUGUAUUAUUAAAAACUCUAAUAUUUUUUAAGAGCUUUUAAUUUUUCAAGAUUCUUAGAGAAUUAAAUUAUUGCAUCAUAUAUAAAAUUUUAUGAAACUUUCUAUUAACAAAAUAAUAUUGUCCCAAAGUAAAGCAAAAGGAAAUUAUCCUAGUGAAAAGUUUGGAAAAAAAAAAUCCCUUUACAGUCCAUUUUUCCUUCUCCACAUUUUGCUUGUCACUCUCCCUUUGAGCCUCUCUAUCAAAGUAUAAUUGAGUUUAUAAAAUACAAAUCUUUUCUUUAUGUGGGUCUCGGAUGCCCAAUGCUUGGCUUAGGAUUUAAUGUUAAGUAAGGGUCUACUUAGGCAAUUAUUUAUAUUUUUUUUAAUAUUUUAUUACAUGAAAUUAAAAUUAAAUCUUGACGUAAUAAAAUAUGAAAUACCUACUCGAGUUUAUUUGAUUGAACCGAAUGAUAAAAAUUUAAAGUAACAUUAUUUUAAUAAAUUUUUUAAGUAGAUAAUAUUUAUUUAUUUAUUUUAAUUUAAAUUGUAUGAUUAUAAUGAAAUAAAUAAUUUAUAAUAUAAUUUUAUGUAAUACAAAUAUCAAAUAAUUAUUCUUAAUUUUUUAUAAAAUUUAAAAACUUAUUUGUUUGUUAGUAAUUAAAUUACAAAUUUUAACAAAUUUUGUAAUAUGUUGAUUGUAAUAAUUAAAAUAAUAUAUAUUGGUUGUGAUAAUUAAAAUUAAAAUAAUAAUUUACAAAUUUAACCUAUAACACAGGCAAAGGCCAAGGCAAUCGCAGGGAGGCAAAAGGCGUCUAUUGGCAGUCCCAAAGGACUCUUUCAUCAUUUUUAAAACCCCCACUUCUCAUCUUCCUCGAAAAGCAAAAGAAAAUAAUGGCUCAUUCUGCUGUAUCCCAGGUUUUUUUUUUUUUUCUCUCUCUCUCUCUCAUUUUUUUAAUCUUAUGAUAUCUUUUGCUGCUCUUGAAUUUAUCGAAAUGGGUUUCCUUGCAAGACUGGGAUUUUGUUUUUUGUUUUUCAGAUUUCUGUAGCUGUUCCCGUUGGAAGCGACGUUUCUCUAAGGAGAUCUGUAUUUAAAAAGGUACUGGUUAAUUAGCAAUAAGGUCAGUGCAGUUUGGUUUAGUUGCAGUAAUGGAUGGUUAGAUCAUUGGAAACACGAAAAAGAGAGACGAAGGUGACGGAGUUUAAAAUUUUAGCAAAAAUCAUAUGUCGGUUUAAAAAAAAAAGUAUUUUAUGUUUUUGUGUCGACGCGAAUUAUGAUACGAAUAUAUAUAUUAUCAGUAUUUUACACUACAUGAAUAUAUGAAUUGCCAGGUUUAAGUUAGAGCAUAUGAUCUGUUACGUGUUUGAAUUUGUCAACUGAAAUUUUAUUGAUCUUAACUACUCUAAUGCACUAUUGGAGUUAGAAUUUAUGUAUGAUAUUGAAAUGCAGUUAAUGUUUUAAGUAUUGGUGUUAUCUGAGACUGAGAGUGGCCAUGAUUGGAAAAAGAAGAAUAACAUGGCCAUCUUUGCUGUAUUAUAUUACCGUGUUAAUUGUCAAAACCAACUAUACAAAUAUAAUGCCUUGCUUGUGAUUUCUUCUUUCGUGGCAAGCUUCAAUUUCCAACUUCUGCCAUGCCUCAAGGCUGAAGAAGUGUCCAUCAUGCUGCAUUUUGCCUUUACAUUGAAAUGAUAAAGCCAAAUGAUCAUCACUUCUUCUCCUUGCUUUUUUCUUUUAAUAUGUCAAAGCUGCUGACUGCAAAAGAAUCAUAUAGCUCUUUCAUAGAAUCAUAUAGCUCUUUCAUUUCUUCGUUCUUCUUUUAAAAUAUUGCUCGUACUUUUGCCACUCUUGAACAAGUUCAAAAUCCUCUAUAAUCGAAGUUGCUGAUGGUAAUUAAAUAGCUAAACAGAUCAUUGUUCUAGUGAGAUGCUAUCUGGUUUAUGCCUCUGGAAUAGGGGAGUAGGUUAUGGAUACAAGGGUGUUGAACUUCAUUUGGCAGCUCAAGUUUUCUCUUGCUUCAUUAAUUUUAUAUGGUGUUUGUCUGUUAUAAUAAUGUACUUUUCUCAUGCAUAUGCAUCUUUGAACACAUUUACAAUUGCCAAAGUGAGUAUGUUCGUCACAUGCGGCAUGUGUUGAGUGACUAAGCUUUGCCAUAGAGAAUAGUAUUAAGUGAUUUGCUUCUGAAGCUGUUUCUUUUAUAAAUAUUGUUGGUGCAAGAACUGAAAUAGAGUUGCACUAUUUACCAAGAUGGCAUGUCAGGCCCACUUCUCUUUAUCCUCUAAGUUAACCUUCCACAUGGUGUGUAUGGUAAAUUAUUCGUAAUAAAGAAGCACUUGACUUUGUUGCAGAGGAACAGUAUAAGCUUUAGUGACAAGUCAUGGGCUUCCAUCUUAUCUUUGGAUUUGAAAUCGCGAAAUGCACAGAAGAUCAAUCAGUACGUGGUAUGCAUGUCAUUGCAACAAACCAGCAAAUCCAAGGUUACAGUUUCACCUUUAGAGAUGGAAACUGCAAAAGAGCCUCCACUAAAUUUAUUCAAGCCCAAGGAACCUUACACAGCUACCAUUGUUUCUGUUGAGAGACUGGUUGGUCCAAAAGCACCAGGUGAGACUUGCCAUAUUGUGAUUGAUCAUGGUAGCAAUGUACCAUACUGGGAAGGGCAGAGCUACGGUGUUAUCCCUCCUGUAAGUCCCUCUAAUGUAAUACUUUUUUUUUUUUUUUUAACUGUUUUCAGAUAGUUUAGUGCAGUUAAUCUCUAACUCUUAUGCUUAGAAUAUUUUAACUUCAAUGCUUAUAUUAAAGUUGCAUUGAUGAUAUAUCAUGCUUGGAAUGUAGGAAUCAGAUGGUUUUUUUACUUUUGAAUAUCAGGAUCGCAAUGUUUAUUAUGGCUAAUUCUAGUUCAUUGUCAUUCUCCUGUCAUAUCCAUUAGUGGCUUUCGAUCUCAUAGAUUGAAGUCAUAUGUAUUCUUUGAACUUCUUGUUUUAGUUUCUACUUUAUAGAUUUCCUUUCUAAAAUUUCCCAUUUAUUCUCUGAUUGGAUUUUCCUUUUUUCUUUUAUUAUAGGGUGAAAAUCCAAAGAAACCAGGUUCUUCCCACAAUGUUCGUCUGUAUUCCAUUGCGUCAUCCAGGUAUGGAGAUUCUUUUGAUGGCAAGACAGCCAGUUUGUGUGUUCGACGUGCUGUCUAUUAUGACCCUGAGACCGGAAAGGAGGAUCCUUCAAAAAGAGGUGUAUGUAGCAAUUUCCUAUGCAACACCAAGCCUGGAGAUAAAGUUCAGAUCACUGGUAAGAUUCUUUAAUAAAGUGGAACAUUCAUAAUAAAGCACUGGCCUUCAACAUAUCUUGAUAUUACCAUAGGGCCAUGGCUGGAAUCACCUAGCAUACAGCUAUUGACGGUAGUAAUCAAUUGAAAAUUGCAUUACAAAAACCUAGGGUUUGGUGGUUCAGAAAACAGAGGACAGUGUUUCUCUGUUACUAACUUCUACUGUCCUGAUAGCUUUAUUAGGUCUAAUUAAUGUCUAAAGGAAUGUUCUUUUGGAUGUUCCAAUCAGAUGGUUACUGAAUUGCUUGCAUUCCAACCAAUUGUGCAUUAUUGUUUUGGUUGUUUUCCACUAAGCUUGUCUUGGCAUUAUGUUAUCAAAUACUAAUUCGUAUUUUAAUAUUUUUCUUGGUAAAGUUUGUCGAAUUAUGUUCUUUUUUUCGUUUUUUCCCCGCUUAUUGCUGUUCGUUAAAUUAUAGACUUUACAGGAAAAUUGGUGAUCAGAACUGACUAAAUAUCUCCUGUUAACUCCAGUAGAAUAUUUUUGCAGGCCCCUCUGGCAAGAUAAUGCUUUUGCCUGAAGAUAACCCAAAUGCCAACCACAUAAUGAUAGCUACUGGCACUGGUGUUGCUCCAUUCAGAGGCUACCUGCGUCGCAUGUUUAUGGAAGAUGUUACAUUCAAGUUCCGCGGACUUGCAUGGCUUUUCCUUGGAGUAGCCAAUAAUGACAGUCUCCUUUACGAUGAUGAGUUUACCAAAUACGUUCAGGACUACCCAGAUCACUUCCGAUAUGAUCGAGCUCUUAGUAGAGAGCAGAAGAACAAGAGUGGGGGCAAGAUGUAUGUUCAGGAUAAGAUUGAGGAAUACAGUGAUGAAAUUUUCAAGCUCUUGGAUGAUGGAGCACAUAUAUAUUUCUGUGGUCUUAAGGGAAUGAUGCCUGGGAUCCAAGAAACACUGAAGAGAGUUGCGGAGCAGAGAGGAGAGAGCUGGGAUGAGAAGCUUUCACAGCUCAAGAAGAACAAACAAUGGCAUGUAGAAGUCUAUUAAUUUAUUCAUGCCCUGCCUCUAAGAGAUGCAGCAAUGUAGCCAUGGUAGACAAUUUGGCAUUUUCAUUUUUUUAUGGGCUUCACACGAAAACCUUGAUUUAGCUGUCAGCAUACAUUUGUAUGAUUAAAUAAUUGAGCUAGUUUCUUGAUUAAUAUAAAACUAUUAAACAUCUCCUUUGUUUCUUCUUUCAUUAUUAUCAUUGUUCAAUGCCAUCCAACCAGAAUUAUUUUCCUCUUUAAGUUUUGAACUUUGGGUUCAACUUGGAAAAAAAUACAACCAGGUGAUUCAUGUUCUUUAGAGUUGGCAAAGCUGACUUUAAUCCAUAAAAUUUGUUUAAUUUAAGAGAAUUCAAAGCUGACUUGAAUUCUAGUUGAAUGUUAUUCAACUCGAUUUGAUAAAAAAAAAUCAAUAAUUUUAACUCAUUUAACUUGAAGAAAUCAAAAUCCUUGAUGUUGCAAUUGAAAACAUAUUUAAAAAAAAAAAAUUGUUAACGUCAAUAUAUUCCUUCAAACUUUUUCAUGGAAAAUUACAUUAUUAUUCCAAUUAGUGGAAGUAUUCAUUAGAAGUUGAAUACUUCCAAAUUUAUUUCGGUUUUAGGCAGGUUUUUGUAAAAUUAAAAAAUAAACACUUUGACAAAAAAUUUUCUUUAUUAAUUAGUACCAUAUAAUGACAACAAAUACCGCUUUAUUAAAUAGAAAAAUAAAGGUUGCAUUUCUUCCAUAGUUUUCAUCACCUUUUGGCUUUUGAAAAGCAUACCUUUUCAUUUUCUCUCUCUUUCUUACCCAAAACUCUCUCUGGAUAUCCUUGAAUUUUCAAUUUCAAUUCAGUGGUAAAUUCUCAAACACCUCUUUCAGAUCUUUCGUUUCAUUUUCAAAUUGAUUUUGACUUUGUUUUCUUUUUUUUUUCUCUAAUGAAAUUUUGAUUAUUGCUUGGCUUCGGUUAUUUAUUUGUUCAUGUAAUCCUUUCCGUUAAUGAUCAACAAACUUUUGAAUUUUGAUAUUUAAUUCACUUUCAAAUGUUUACAACUUUUAGCUGAUUUCGUGAAUAUGAAUGAUUUGCUCUUCUCUGUUUGUUGAUGGAAAAAUGAUAGGAAACGAAAAUAAAUUACAAUUUUUCUAAAUCUUUUUGGGGUUUUUUUUUUUUUUUUUUUUAUAAAAGGUAUUUCCAUAUUUCUAUUAUAAACGAUUUCAUCUCAAACACGUACUUUCUGUUUUAGAAUAUUGUUACAAUUAUUUCAUUUGACGUUUUACCUUGAUUUAUUUGUCAAUAAUUGAUUUUAUUGUUAUUAUUAUUAUUAUUCUGGUAUUUCAUUUCUCUUUAGAAUAUGCAGUCAAAAGACAAAAGGAACAGAGAAAAGUCUUAAUUUUAAGUAAAUUACAUUUAGCUGAUUUAGAUUGGUUUGUGUUUGUGUUUUUGUUAGUCUUGAAAGCUUGCUUGUUGGAUGAUUGUGGGUUGGUAGCAGAGCAAUGAGUGGAGUCAGGAAAUCUACCUCAGGUUGGUAUGCUAAUAUUACAUCAAUCAGUUCAAUAGAAUGGUUUCAAAAUGAAUUAUAGAUAGAUAGAUAGAUAAUCCUGUAAAUUUAUAAGGAAGAACAUAGGUUGGGAGUUUUUUGACUAAAUUUUGGUUAAGUUCCCUUCAAUAAUUUGCCAAAUGACAAGUUUGCCAAAUUUUUAAUUAUUAGGUAUGCAUCAUGCGUGGGACAUUUGCACACGUGGUCUCAAAGUAAUUGCAUUAGGUCUUAGCAUUAUUUUGUGGUUGGCCUGUAAAAUAAGGUGAAAAAUGUAAUGGUUUUCUUUAAGAGAGCUAAUCUUUUAGAUUUGUCUUUGUAAAGUUCAGUUGUCAACUUCUUUUCUUCACUACGAAGUGUUAAAACUUGUGUACAUAAAGGCCUAAGAUUUAGAAUGGUGGUUGAGAAUGAAGGGAGAAAUUCAUAUCCUUACUGCCACUCAUUUCUUUUUUGUUCUUCUUCUCGUUUCGGUCAUUCUUGACGAAAUUGGAUUUGCCACAAAAUACAAACACUUAUAAUCUGGUUUUGCACUGUGAUCAAACACUAAAAAGCCUAAUAGUUAAUUUUUUGGUUUUGCAUUGAGUAUAAGAGGCUAGGGAUUCCCCAAUUUGGUGAAUUGAACCUUAAUAGGCAUAAUUACAUUUGUUUUUCUGGACAACAUCUCUGUCCUCUUCCUUAAUAUGUUGAUUUUUUAAUGCAUUUUUUUGCUGAAUUUUGUGGAAAAUGUGUCUUUCCUUUGCAGCUAAUAGAAGAUUGAAGGACUUAUUGAAACAAACUGAUAAUCGCAUUUGUGCUGAUUGUGGUGCUCCAGAUCCAAAGUGGGCGUAAGUAUUACCGUUACAGCAUAUUUAGAUUUUCCUAUUCAUUUCUAUUCAUAUGAAUAGGAGAUACAGUGAUGAAUACAUGUCUCUUUGUUAUCUUUGAAGUAUGAAUUCAAUGCAAAGCUUAGAACCUAACCACAUCAAGCAUGUGUAUUUAUGUUUGAUUGUAACAUAAGGAAGGAUUAAGAAAAUCACUUGAGAAAUGUAUUUUCAGAUCAGCAAAUAUUGGUGUCUUUAUAUGCAUGAAAUGUUGCGGUGUGCACAGAAGCCUUGGUACGCACAUCUCCAAGGUGAGUACCGUAUGUUGCAUCUAGUUUAAUAUUUUUCUUCAUGGAAUCUUGACCCAUCAUUGGGGAAAUGUAUGAGGGGUUUUCCGUCGGCUGUUUAUGACAUGCAUGGUUAUAUAAUUUAUCAUAGGCAAUUUGUUAUCUGAGCUUUAGCAUGGGAAUCUUAAUAUAAUUAGAUAAAUCAGUACGAUUAGAAGAUCCAAGUAUCGGGCGAUAGGUGUGAACUUUGAUAAUAGAACCAGCGGCAUAGCUGUGAAUUUUACACAAUUGAUAUAUGAAAUGUUUCAUGAUAUAAAUGAGAAGAAAAACAAAUUUAAUCAAUUACUAUGCGAACUAAUGAGUCUAACUGCUACCCUAUUUAAGAUAACCACUGACUGAUUCAGAAUGAAUGUCUGUGUUCAUUUGCAUACUUGUGUAUCUUAAAAGCAUCCCUGGUCUUAACCUGGUCGAAGCUGGGAAGAACAUUCUUGGAUCAAGAUGAAAAUAUAAUUAUCUUGAGGAUCAAUUUCAUUUCAGCUGUUAAAUAAAUCUUGUUUCUUUUUAUUGUGUUUCCUUAUAAGCUUGUGGGAUGCGAUCAAAUUGUCAUGCAGAACUGAUACAUGGCAUAAAAGCAUUUAUCUGUCAACUGGAAUGGUAUCAGUUGGUUGUUACGAACAUAAUUCCAGUUGAAUCUUUCAUAUGUAUAACUGAAGUCAUUCACUUGUUUAUGUUAUCUUUGUAGAAUCUUUUAACUGUGGAUUGUUGUGAUGUAUUCGCCCUUUUAAAGGCUUAACUUUACAGUAUUAUGUUUUUCUUUUUACUUUUAUAGUUAUAUUAUCAUUAUUUUGACCAAAUUGAUGUCUAUAUCAUUCUUGCAAUUCCUCUUACAUAAUAUUAUAUGAUACUUUGAAACUUCAUUUUCUUGUCUUUUUGUUCUAUCCUUGUCCCUUCUUUUAUUUUUUUUUUUUAUUUUCUGAUGAUAUCAGGUUUUAUCUGUGGCAUUGGAUGAAUGGUCUGAUGAUGAAAUUGAUGCCAUGAUUGAAGUUGGAGGAAAUUCCUCUGCUAAUGCAAUCUACGAGGCCUAUAUACCUGAAGGUUAUUCAAAGCCUGGUCCUGAUGCUAGUCAUGAUGAGCGGAGGAGAUUUAUCAGGUUAGAGUUCAGACAAAUGUAGAAUCUCUCAUGUUGAGCUUUUCUUUGUCACUUCUCUUGGAUACUAUAUGUGAUCUAAACCUAUUUUCCCAUUUAUACUAUUCCUUUUCUUGGCACAUCUUUUUUGGGUUUAGAUAGAAAGGCAAUGCUUAACUACAGUAACCUAUCAUGACCUACCAUUCAACCUAUUUUAUAAUUGCUCUUUCUGUGUUUGUUCUGGAAGCAUAUAGCAGAUUUGACAGAUCAUAGCUUAGAUGUCAUAAUAAUUACUUAUUUCAAAUCUUCCUGCAGGUCCAAGUAUGAACUUCAAGAAUUUUUGAAACCUAGCUUGCGGAUAACAUCAGGGAAAAGUUCUUCUGCUUCUCAUCGAUCAAGCUUAUCUGGAAAGAUUUUGGAUAGUUUCCAGUUAAUGUCAUCACAAGAAUCGGUAAAUUCAUUUGCACUUUGUUUCUUCCAAUCUGCUUCAUUGUCUCAGGAACCUUUAGGAAGAUCGUGCUGCUAAUGAUGUAAAGAGAUAAUAUGGUCACUUGUCGAAUAGCGUGACCUGAACAUGUGGAUGGGAUCCUUCUGUUGCAUUCUGUCCAUAGGUCCAUUUUGCAUUCAGUUUUAUUUGUCUAAAUCCAUAAUUAGUGAGGGUAUAUAUUUUAUGUGCUGCUUGUUUACAUGAUGUGAGUUGGUUCGUGUUUACUAUUUUGGAAAAGUAAGUCUACUAGUAAAACCUAGCAAAGCCCCAUGUUAACUGUUGCAAGUUGUGACUGUAUUCUUCCUUACAAAAGUCAAGUCAGUAUUAACAUUAACAAUUAAAAUACCUCUAGAUGGAUUUAACUGGCUAUAUGGUGCUGUGUUUAAUAACUUCAAUCCGUUUGGCGUGAAAGUUGUAACAGGUAGGCAUGGUAGAAUUUGUUGGGUUACUGAAGGUCAAAGUGGUAAAAGGCACAGAUUUAGCCAUCCGGGAUAUGAUGACAAGUGAUCCUUAUGUUGUCUUGACUCUUGGGCAGCAGGUUAGUUGCUCCAUGUCUUAGGCUUUUAUUCUCAUUACUGAAACAGAAAAUUUCUGUCAAGGCUAUAAACUAUGUUGUUGCUACCUCUUGAUGAUCUCAAGUUGUAGACCUUUAUGAAUUAUGCACUCUUUCUCUCUAUGUGCAUUUGCAUACAUGGAUUUGUGGGCAUUUAUGCUUGUAGAUUACAUCAGUAUCAGUUCUGCAUGUGGAUCAAACUGUUAGUACCAUUCAGUCGGUUGGAUGGUGGUUCAGACUUCAGACCUCUAUUAAAGCCUUUGUUAUAUUUCAUAUAUUUUUCCUUUCAAAUUUGUGCUACAAACAUAUACCUCCUGGAUAUGCUUUACAUGUUUUCUUAUGUGUUUGUUUUCCUAUCAAAAUGAGAAUAAGGUCUAAUUGCUUUUAGUGGUACUAUUUCUUUUACUAAUGACAACAUUGGGUCUUUGAUCUUAUUAGACUGUUCAGACGACUGUAAUAAAAAGCAACUUGAAUCCAGUUUGGAAUGAGGAACUCAUGCUGUCCGUUCCUCAAAAGUAUGGGGCUGUGAAGUUGGUAAGUGUAGUUUUCUUCUCAAUCCAUGUUAUUAAGAAACUUUAUAGUUGUUUCCUCAAAAAAGAGAAAAAAAAGAAAGUUUUUAGUUGCAAAAAAGUUUACUAUUUUUUAAAGAACUAUUACGCUUUGUAUGUGUGCAAUAUUUUAGAAUCGUGGUUCUACCUAUUUAUGAAUUUCUGUAAUGGUGGUGAGGCUGAUUGGGUUGGAUUUGGUUCAAGUUAUAUGAAUUUCAUGUAUUUGGCUCUGUUUUAAGGAUUGUUAGGCUCAAGUUGGUCUGGUUUCGUGUUGGCUGGGUUUGUGUCAUUCAGGUUUUGGGUUGUUCCAGUUCAUUUUGCGUAGAUUCUGGUUCUUGAAGUUUUAAAUCAAUUUGACCUCUAUGAGAACAGUUUUUCGGUGGAUUACUUCAUACCAACUUUUGUUGCCUCUAGGUGCAUUAAAGCAGUAAUAAGGUAGGACAGUGGUGAGGUCAGGUUAUUUCAAUUUAACUUCAUUUGAGGUAUCUGGCCAUUCAUCUGAGUCAAUUCAGAUUUGGGUUGCAUUUUCAAGUUAAUAAAUUUUGAGUCAAUUUGGGCUGAAUAAGUCUGGUUUUCAACUAGUCAGAUUCAUUUGUGCCAACUCUAGUAUUAGAAAUGGAAAAUUUUCCAUCUUACUUUAAAUCCUGAAAUAUUACCUGACUUCCAGAUGUUUUGCCGCUUAGUUUGCUUCUGGACCACUUUAUAGUUUUACCUGGGAACUUUGAUGAAUUGCACAUUUUCAUGAUUACCGCCCAGCACUUUUCAGCUCUAAAAGCUUAAUGUGUACUUGACGUAUAUUUUUAUUUUCUGGCCACUCUUCCUGUUCCUUUGAUAAAAAUGAUGUGUAUUGAAGAGGAAAUAAAGGGAAAUGUAUACUGGGAUCAUGGAGCAGACCUCCUUUUGUCACUAUAUCUGAUGAAAAAGGAUGGAAUGAGAAAUGCGGGAUUGUUUGUCAUGAUUGAUUUAUUAGAAUCUGGAAAUUGGUUUGUCAUGUAGGGUCUAAUCAAGAAGCCCACAUUUAUAGGUGGUGGAUCCCUACGUAAUUCUUUGUUGUGAUUAGACAAUUGUAAUAUUGUAGUAAAAAGAAUUUUAGGUGAAAAUGCUCCCGUCCAACAGUGUAACCAACGGAUGAUAUUAUUUUAUGUUUUCCCUUAGUUAUCAAUAAAGCUAGACAUGCAUUUUAAUGCUUUACGUAAUUAUACUUUCUGUCAUUGUUUGUUGUUUAGAAUGACAAGAAGUGUGGUUGAACUGCUGAUGUAUGCAUUAUUAUUCAUUCAUAUUAGAUUUGCUGUCAUCUCAAGCAUGAUUAUGAUGGGGUUCCUCUAAUCUGUUCAAAACUUGGACAUUGUAGCAAGUAUAUGAUCAUGACACGUUCUCGUCUGAUGACAUAAUGGGAGAAGCAGAGAUCGAUAUCCAGCCAUUGAUAACAUCUGCAAUGGCAUAUGGGGACCCAGAAAUGUUUGGAAAUAUGCAGAUUGGAAAAUGGCUCAAGUCCCAUGAUAACGCCCUAUUAGAGGACAGCAUCAUCAACAUUGUCGAUGGGAAGGUGAAACAAGAUGUGUCACUGAAGCUCCAAAACGUUGAAUCUGGAGAAAUUUAUCUAGAAAUAGAGUGGCUGCCACUUGAUCAGUAGACUGAGCAUAAAUAAUGUAAUCAUUCAUUGUUCCUCCAAAUAAAUUCUGUAACAUUGUUUGUUGUUUGAUAUGGAUGGAUAUGGAAACACAUGCUUGUCUUGUUUAUUUUAUUUUUUCAUUUAGACUUAAACUUUCAAGAAUUAAUUUCUGGCUCCUUGGCUUCUUGUCCAAUUUUGCUGAAAGGCCUCUCUGCUCCAAAUUAAAAUAAAAUAUGUAAUAUAAUAUAAAAAAUUUAUUUAGUAUAUAAUUUAUAUUAUACAGUUUAAUAUAUUGAAUUUAUAUUUGAUGUGUUAAAUUUUAUAUAUUGUUAAUGCAUCAUAUGUGUCAUCUUAUUAAUUUAGAAAUUAAAAAACUAAAACUCCUUAAAGAUAAAGUUGAAAAAAUUCAAUAAUUAUUUUUAUUUAAUUAAAUAAAAAUUUUAUUUAAUUUAAUUUUUUUAAUUUAUAAAAUUAAUGAAAUGACAACUUAUGAUACAUUGAAGGUGUAUAAUUAUGCACAGUACAUUAAAUGUAAAUUUAGUAUAUUAUUUAUCUCAUUAUAAAAAUAUUAAUAAAAUAUUUUAUAUAAUAAAAGUUUUUUUCAAUAUUUAAAGAUAUUUUUCUAUUAAAUUUAUAAAAUGCUAAUUUUAUCUUUCCUAAGCUUUUAAAACAACUUUGCACUAAAGUUGUUGCUAUAAAAGCUAAGGCCGCCAGACCAACCAAACAUGAAACGUACUCUUACAAGUCGCUUCCGGACGCUGGUGCUUUUGGCUUCUGUUUUCUGUUGGUAUCUCCAUUUUUUUUUUCCUGUUCGUCAUUGAAUUUGCCUAUGAAAGGUUUUCUCUUUUUCUUCUAAUAAAAAAAUUAUUUUCAGGAAAGCAAUGAGAAAUGGCAGCAAAUUCUGUUACUCAAAGUCUCAACGUUUAUUCAAAACUUUUAACUGUUAAACUAUGGAACUCACGUAUAAAGGAGGCUGUAAACCAAAACAGUGCCCACAAAGCGCUUCUUCUCUUUCGCCAAAUGAAGCAAAAAGGGUUGGAACCAAACAACUUAACCUUUCCUUUCAUUGCAAAAGCUUGUGCCAAGAUUUCCAAUCUCAAAUAUUCCCAAACCCUCCACAACCAAAUCUUGAAAUCCCCGUUUGGAAGCGAUAUUUUCGUACAAACAGCAUUAGUUGAUAUGUACAUAAAAUGUGAUCAAGUGGAUUAUGCAUGCAAAACGUUUGAAAGAAUGCCUGAAAGAGAUUUGGCUGCUUGGAAUGCAAUGCUUAUUGGUUUUGCUAAGUUGGGUUUUCUUGAUAAGUUGUUAAGUCUUUUUGGUGGGAUGACGUUUGCUGGGAUUCACCCUGAUUCGGUCACUGUUGUGGGACUUAGUCUGGGAGUUUUGAGUACAAGGAAUUUGGAAUUAGUGAAGGGAAUUCAUUCGUUUGGGAUUCAAAUUGGGGUUGCUGUUGAUGUUACAGUAGCUAACACUUGGAUUGCAGUAUAUGCCAAAUGUGGUGACUUAGCAUCAGCAAAGAAGGUUUUUGAUGAGAUUGAUGCUGUGAGGACUGUCAUCUCUUGGAAUUCCAUGAUUGCUGGAUAUGCCCACUUCGAAAAUUUUGCUAAUGCUUUUGAUUUAUAUCGAAGGAUGUUGGUGGAUGGAAUUAAGCCAGAUGCAAGCUCUAUUGUUAGUUUGAUUUCGUCAUGUGUGCAACCUGAAGCACUAUUUCAAGGAAUGCAAAUUCAUUCUCAUGGAAUCCAAUUAGGUUGUGACUUGAACUUAUCUGUAACCAAUACUCUUAUAUCCAUGUAUUCCAAGUGUGGAGAUCUUAAUUCUGCAAGAUUCUUAUUUGAUUUCAUGUCUAAUAGGACAUGUGUUUCAUGGACUGUCAUGAUUAGCGGGUAUGCUGAGAAAGGGAAUAUGGAUGAGGCAAUGACCUUGUUUUAUUCAAUGGAAAAAGCUGGUGAGACAGCUGAUUUGGUUACUGUACUUUCUUUGGUUUCAGGUUGUGGCAAGACAGGAUCCCUUGAGCUUGGAAAAUGUAUUGACAGUUAUGCCAAAUCUAAAGGGUUUAAAGAGGAUGCAAUGGUCUGUAAUGCACUAAUAGAUAUGUACUCAAAAUGUGGUAGUAUAUGUGAGGCUCGAGAGGUCUUUCGUACCAUGCCCGAGAGAACUAUUGUUUCUUGGACUACCAUGAUCUCUGGUUGUGCCGUGAACGGAGAAUUUGAAGUAGCUUUGGACCUUUUCCAUCAGAUGAGGGGUUUGGGCUUCAAACCUAACCAAAUAACAUUCCUUGCUGUCCUGCAAGCUUGCACUCAUGCAGGCUUUCUUGAUAAAGGAUGGGAAUUCUUCAAUAUGAUGACCACAGAAUAUGAUAUCUAUCCUGGGUUAGAUCAUUAUUCAUGUAUGGCGGAUCUUCUUGGACGUAAAGGUAAGCUAAUAGUAGCAUUGGAGUUUAUUUUAAAUAUGCCAAUUAAACCAGAUGCUGGCAUAUGGAGUGCAUUGCUUAGUGCUUGCAAGGUUCACCACAACGUAGAGAUUGGUAAGCAUGUGGCAAGUCGCCUAUUUGAGAUGGAGCCUCAAGUUGCUGCUCCAUAUGUGGAGAUGGCAAACAUAUAUGCAUCAACUGGAAAUUGGGAUGAAGUUGCAAUGAUAAGAUUGUUGAUGAAACAUAAUAACGUGAGCAAGUCUCCCGGGCAAAGCCUUGUUCAAGUUAAUGGAAAAACACAUAGAUUUACUGUUGAAGAUAGAAGUCACCCUGAAGGUGUGCUUAUAUAUGCGUUGUUGGAUUAUUUAGCUUUGCAAUUAAAAGAUGAUAGAUAUCCCCUGUAUUUGAGGGAUAUUCCUGAAAUGGAAUUGGUUUGAAUCUUUAUUGAUUUUAACAUUUUACUCGGACUGAUAUCCCCUGUAUUUGGGGAUAUUCCUGAAGUGGAAUUCGGUUUAGUGAUCUUCCCACAUGCAGUGCAUCAAAAUUGGGGGGAAGGUCAAACUCUUCCAUCAAAAGAAAGAAGAUGGUCACUGUAUCUAGAGGGAAUUUACAAACAUCAUCUGAAAUCUAGCUUGAAGGAAAUAACUACAUGUACAGACGAUGGGGAGAGACUUGAAAACUGUUGAAGAUAAAAGCAUCUAUGCCUGAGCGUGGGUAUUAUAGUCUACAACAAUUUGGUAUCAAGGCUCAGAAGAGUUUAAAGGUCUGCUUUCCAUUCUCCAUCCCCUUGUCAAUUGGUUACAAUGCAAUUUUCAACAGUAGCAUAAAUACUGGGUGAUCAAACUGUUGGGGUAUUCUGUAGUUGCUUAAAUUGUUUUGCAUACAUAAGCUGGAUUAUUCCUAUAAUAAUUAGAUUGUCAACUUGUAUGUUGAUAUCAGUUUGUGCAUUACCAUUUGUUUUUAGAAAAUUUCUGGUACAAACAAUUUUCCCAAAAAUUUUCCAUCAUUGUUUAGAUGUUCAUUGUUCAGAAAGGGCCUGUUAAGUCGUGUUUACUUCUAUGCAUUUCUUUAUCUUUUGCAGGUUAUAGGAAGCAUUAAUAGAUAUGACAUGGACUUUGGGAAAGAAUUGUUUUGAUGUGUACUGGUAAACUCAAUCACACAUAAUCAAGCAUGCUUUUACUAUAAUGCCUUUGAUCAUUUCUCUACUCAUCUCCUUUGAGUAUUACUUUAUUCGAAAAUCACUAAUUCAUUCGUGUAUGGUGAGUGGUUGAAUAAUCUAUUUAUUAAAAAGCUAAUGGCUAAACAUGUAUUAACUUUCAAUUCCCUUGUUCUUUAUCAUUAGUUGAUAUUGUUGCUUCUAUUCUCCCUUAUAAUGCAACUUCCUGGUGGCACAACAUCAAUGUAACGAUUAAAAGAAUGUCUUGAGAAAAGGCUUCCUGGUGGUAUCAUUUCAUUUAUUUUUUGUUUAUGCAAAAAUGUUGCAUCUAGUACUUUCUCAAGGAGUUCACCAAAACUUGAUUUCAUAUCAUCAUAGUUCAUAAAUUACUGGUUUUUUUAAUCUUCAAUUCCACCAUUAAAUGUCAUUUCAUUGCUGUUAGAAGAUGAGUUUCAAUUAUCAUAAGGUAGGAAGCAUGGACACAGACAUGAGAUAUGGGUAUGGUAUCACAUUAAUACUGUGAUAUUAACAGUUUUUUGAAAAAUUAGGAUAUGGAUUUGAUGAGCUUAAAGAUAUAUGCAGCCUGAGUUAUAUGCCCUAACUUAUUUUUGGUUGGUGCAAGCUUCCAUCUCUUCCAGAACUAGCUCACUUCUUCUCUAGCCAAUGCCCUCUAGCAUUUACUCUCUAUUCUUGGUUUUGAAUUUACACAUAGAUCCAUCUCAACCAUUGGCCUAUUGUGCACCGGUUAGGAAAAAUGAGUUUCUGGAUUUAUGAGAGAUUAAAACUUGACCACGAAGAAAGUAAGUGUAAGUAAUAAAAGAUGAUAUGAAGGUUAAGGAAAUAGAUGAAAUGUUAUUUUUUAUAAAAAUGAGUGGGAUAAGAAGAUUUAAAACUGCGACCUAACAUAAAUUUUUUUUUUUAGUUUUUCGUAUAGCCGAUCUCAGGCUUAUAGGAUUUAAGGCUUUGUUGUUGUUAUAUCAAAAUUAGGUGAGGAAAAUGAAUGAUGGCCUUUAUAACAGCCUAGCCAACCCUUCUCUGCGUUUUGGCUCUCAUAUUUCUCUGGCAAGGCACAGCGGCUACUGUUAUGACAGCACUUAAACCCCAUGUGGAUUAGAGAAUCAAAAUCAAGAAGGAAAAGAACCCAUAGAUGAAGGGGAUCUUGUAUUAGAUGCAUAAAAAAAAAAAAAAGGGAAAUUUUAGAUCCUUUCUCUCAAACCAAGAAAAAGAUGUUGCAGAAGAACAUGGUAAAUCAGACAGAAAGACAUGCAGUGUGUCCAUGCUGUGGAUGGGCAUGUUACACACUUAUUGUUAGGACUUAGAGCCUCUGAAAUUAAAAAACUCUAUUAUAUCAGAUAAUUUUUUUUAAAGAAAUAAUAUAUUGAUAAAUUCACGUUUUAUACAUUGUCGGUCAAGCUUAACUGCUUUGUGUAUUUUUUUUUUAUAUAUUAAUUUUUAUUUUUUUAAUAUACUUUAGAGGUGCAUGUUCAAGACAAGAUCAGCUAGUAAUCUUUCUUUCUUUUUUUUUUUUUUUCUAAUCUCAUUUUCAGGAAUUCUCUCUAAGAAAUUAAAAACCGGUCAUUCCCAAAUUCAACGAGGCUACAAAGCUUCUGCUGCAAGAAAAACACUUUAUAUGAUCUCUCCUAAAUAAAUUAAAAAUAAAUUUGAUAAUUUAAAAUACGAUGAAAUAAUAUAAAUAUAACAUGAUUUAAUAGUUUAAAAAAAUUACAUAUAAAUUUAAUAAAAUUAAAAAAAUAUAUUUUAUAUUUUCAUAAUAACACAAAUUAUAAUAAAUAAUAUUUAUGUAAUUUUAAUAUUUUAUAUAAUAUAAAUACGCAAACCACUAAAUUUAUGGAGACAUAAUAAAAAAUAUAAAUGAUUCCAAAAUCACUUGGUGCUAAUUGGGACUAAACUAUUAAUAUUGUUGGUAUUAUUUGUGGAAUUAGGCGAUGAUCUCAUUCUAAUAACGUAAAUAAAAGCAGAAGUAGCCAGUAAUGCCACACCUGUGACGCCACAAAUCAAGCUCCCCAACACCAGCACAUGCCUCACGUGAUCACUCCCCCACCGAUUGCGGCCUGCUCCCACCCACCACGACGUCUCAUUGGAAUUUAUAGCCUUCGGCAGCGCCAUCUUAGGCGGCGUCGAAGAGGAGGAAUUCGAUGUUGGUGCGAAGAAGGACAUCAUCCCCGGUGACUUGAGCCCAGUCGGCGGCUGGCUCUGGUACUCCAGACCAUGAUCAGAAGGGCGUAGCUCCCUGGCCGUUGAUACCCUGAUGAUGAGGACGAUGAUGGUGAUGGUGAUGGCAGCAGCAAUUCUUACUGUGUGGAGAGAAGGCAUAGCUGAUUAUAGCUCUGUUGAGUGAAGGGAAGGCACUUUACAGUUGUCUGUUUGAGACAGAUACAUAGUACACUGUAAUUAGAUUAAGGAAGGUGAGCGACGUCGUUUGAGUUGUCAGAACAACUAUAUUCUAUUAUUUUGCAGUCAAGCAUUCAUUCGUGUGAAGGCCGAAAACGCGUGGCUCAAUGGGAGGGAAUAUUUACUCGUGUGUAAAUUUGAUAAUUUAAAAUAUAAUAUAAUAAUAUGAUAUAAAUGUGAUAUAAAUAAAAAAAAUUAAGAUAUAAAUUAAAAUUUUAAUAAUUAUUAUAUAUAAGUUUAAUAAAAAAAUAUUUCAUAUUUUUAUAUUUAUAUAAAUUUGAAAAUAUAAAUUUUAUAUAAAACACAAUAUAAAUAUAAAAAUUUUAAUAUUUUAUAUAAUAUAAAUAUAUAAAUCAUUAAAUUUACUCAAAAAAAUUUUCAGUUGUACUCUUAACUGUCGAAAUAAUUAAUAUAUAUUUAUAUAUAUGAGAAUUAAUAACACCCGUCUCCUUAAUAUUCUAAUCUUUGGAAUGUUUUUUGAUAUCAUAAUUAAAAUAUGUAUUAUAAAUAUCUAUCUUGUAUCAACAGGUGUAAAUGUUAAUAAAAUAUUAAAAUUUUAAUUAUAAUUAUUAUAUUAAAAUUUUAAUAAUUUCAAAAAAAUACUUAUCUCAUAAAAUAUGUAUUAUAAUUAAAAUAACUGUUUAAAAUCGUAAUGUCAUACUUGAUAUUAACCACAAAUGCAAAACAAAUGGGUGCUAUUAUCAAUAUUCUUGUGUUUCAAAACAUAAUACAUGUAAUUAAAAUAAGAAAAUUUUGUUAAAUAAAAUUGAUUAAAUAAGUUUUAAUUAGUUAAAUUUAUUAUUUUAUUUUGGCAUACGUGUUGAGAAUAAAUUGGAGUUGAGGUUUUUUUUUUUUUGUCUAAGAUCUUCAAUGUUCGAUAAUCACUUUCGAUUCUGAUUAAUUCGGAAACGAAUUGAGUCGAAUCUCAUAAAAAAGUAAAUUUUUUUAAAUUUAUUUUUUUCAUUCACAAAAUUUGAAAUUAAAAUCUUAUUUAAAAAAAAUUAAAUUUUUUGUCACUUAAUCUAACAGACGUUGAUAAUCGGAGUUGAGUUAUACAAUAGAAGGAAGUUCUCUUUGUCAAUAAAUCCACUUAUUUCACUUGAAUUCAAGACUUUUAGAUUUAAACUGUAAUCGGUAGGAAUAGGAUGCCCCUUUACUCAUAAGCUGAAUUUAAUGUUUGAAUGUUUUUGUCAUUUGUACAACUCAUCGCCAUGCUAGUUGAUUUGGCUUCUGCGUCAGUCCUUUUCACUCAAAUAAUGCCACGUCACUCAGCAAAUUUGUAAACAAAAUUUCAAUGGCUGACUCAUCCUUAUUCUGCCACUUGUCUAAUGUUAAUUAGUCCACAAACAAGCCAUGUCAUUCUUUUUCCAAAUCAUCCUAUCUUGCCACGUGUCUCUCUUAAUAGUCAAUAUCAUCGAUGGCAUAUAAAUUAUAUUAAAAUAUUUAAUAUAAUAUUAAAAUUUUUAAAAUUUUUAACGUGAUAUUUAAAAUAUAUAUUUAUUAACAUACGUGAUAUUUAAAUAAUUAUUUAUUUAUUAUGUGUCAUCGUUUGGAAGCCUAGUUACGUUAACGAUGAAUAUUAUAUUAAUUAAUGUAUUCAUAAUUUAAGUAUUAUAUUAAAAAUUUUAAAUUUAAAUAAUAUAUUAAAUAUUUCAUUAUAAUUUAAGAGCUAUUUAUAAUAUUAAUCACUCUCUUAAAUUGAAUGAUUAUAUAUAUAUAUAUAUUUAGUAUAAACUUUUUCAUCAAAAUACUUUCUCUUUUACGCAAAAAAGAAAAGGGUACUCAAAUUUAAAAACCUGCCAUUCCUGCCACAGUUUAGCUUAAUUAAUUAAUUAAUGGCAAUUAUAGUUUGAAUUAAACUUUCAAUCAAACCAUUUAAGUUUUCAAAUUUGAGUAUCGGUUGAUGUCAAUUGGCAUAAGAUUUUUUAUUGACAUUUAAAUAUUAUGAGUUCGAAUGAGUUUAUAUAUGUAGUAUUUUCUUCUUCAGCUAGAUAAGUAUAACAAGAGAGGGAUUUAAGUAGAUUUGAUAAUAUAUAGUGAUAUGAUAUGAAUACGAUAAAAAAAAGUGACAUAAUUUAAAAUUUUAAUAAUAAUUAUUAUGAGUUUAAUAAACAAAAAAAUAUAUUUUAUAAUUUUAUAUUAAUAUGAAUUGUGACACAUAAUUUUUGUAUAAAAUAUAAUACGAAUAUAUAAAUUUUAUUAUUUUACACGACACAAAUAUUUGAAUUGUCAAUUCUAAACUUAGGGAUAAAUUAGAAUAUUAAAUUUUUUUUUUAAAUCUCUCUUAGCUCAUAAUUUUCUUCCCAUCUUUUAAUUUCUCUCUAGGUACCCCACCUUUCUCUUCCUUUAACUUGAAUUUCUUUCUUCCGUUUUCAAAAACAUGACCAAAGAGCUUUCCACCAUUAAUGAGCUUACAUACAGCUCUGCAUCGUAGAUUGAUCAAUUAUUUUUUAGUGUAAACACAUGCUUAAUUUAUAUUUAUUUAUGAGUAUGUACACAUUAUUUUCGUACUAUAAUAUAAAAUAAAUUUAGGUUUUAAAAUCAUUCAAAAUAUAAUUUAUAAAUUAGUAAUUAAUAUUAAUAAAAUAUUUUCAUUUUUAUUUAAAUUAAUUGUAUUCUUUUUAUAUAAUUUUUUAAUUUUAUUUAUCAUUUUGUGUUAAUAGAAUUAUUAUUCAUUUGAUUACCUAACUAUUUUUACUCUCAUGCUAUUUUUCCUUCUCUCUCUCUCUUUUCUCUACCAAAACAAAAAGAAAAAGUCCCAUGGAAUUAAAGGUGACAAAUAAGUCAAUCAAAUUAGGUUCAGGUUCAAUUAUUUUGAUUGGAUCAUUUUUGUUUAAAAAAAAAUUAAAUCUUUUCGAAUUGGGAUCAUUUUAAGUUCAGAUUAGGUUGGGUUUGUUGGAUUUAAUAAACCAAUUUUUUGAAUGAUUUCUAAAACCUUUAAAUAGAAUUUUAAAUUUUUGAAUGAUUUCUAAGACUUUCAAGUAGAAUUUUAAAUUUUUGAAUGAUUUUCAAGAUUUUCAGGUAGAAAUUUAAAUUUUUUAAAGAUUUUCAAAAUCUUUAAACAUAAUAUUUAAUUUUUAAACGAUUUUCAAGGUCUCCAUUUAGAAUUUUAAAUUUUGUAAAUGAUUUUCAAGAUUUUUAAACAUAGUUUAUGAGUUCUCCAAGCAAGAUUUAUAAAUCUUUUGAGUUGAAUUUACUUUAGUAUCGAGAUUUAUAAGACCUCUAGGUUUAAUCUUUAAAUCUUUCGGAUAAGAUUCGUAGUCUUCCUAGUUGAAUUCAUUUUAAUGUUGAAAUUUAUAAGAUCUCCUGGAUCAAUCUUGAGAAAAUUAUCGAAAAAAAUGGAAAAUAGAUAUGGCAUUAGUUAGAAGCAUUUUUUAGAAAGGAAAAUGUUGAGAAUUUUAAAGAUUUUCAAGUUAAAAAAUUUUAAACACGUACAAAGAUCAAGAUGAGAAACUUUGUUACAAAGACUUAUGGGCACUAAAAAAUAUAAUAAUUAAGACCUUUAGGUAAGAUUAGUAAGACUUUCGAGAGAAAUCUAUUUUAGAAUUGAGAUUUAUAAGAUUUUCGGGCAUAGUUUCUAAGAUCUUCAGGCAAAAUUUGUUAGUCUUCGAGCAAAGUUUAUUUUAUUGUUGAAAUUUAUGAAACUUUUGAGUAUAGUCUCUAAGUCCUCUUAGUAAAAUUCGUAAGUCUUCUGAACUAAAUAUACUUUAAUAUCAAGAUUUGCAAGAUCUUUGGGCAUAUUUUUUAAGCAUUUCAGAUUUUUUUCAAAGUUUCAAAGUUUUUGUUUAGGAGAAGCCUUUCAAAGAUAAGAUUUUAAAGUUUCAAAACCUCUAUUCAAGAUAAACCUUUUAAAGUUAAGAUUUUUAAAAUCUCAAAACUUCUAUUUAAAAAGAACCUUUCAAAUGUGAGAUUUUUAAAAUUUUAAAACCUUUGUUAAAAAAGAGCCUUUUAAAGAUAAAAUUUUUUAAUCUCUUAAAAAAAAGAAAAUAAAAAAAGUUUCAAAACAUCUAAUAAGUUAAUAUAGAAAACAAAACAUAAAAAAUAGUAACAAAAUAAACAAAAAAAACAAAAGAAAAUAACUCUAAGCCCCUAAUUAGAUAAAAUUAUCAUAUUUGUUUUUACAUUAUUUCUAAUUUUAAGAAAUAUGUAAAGAGAGGCAGUCAUAAGCACUUAAUUUUAUCCGAGUUUAUUUUAGUCAAUCAUGAUGCUUUAAAAAUAGGGACUGAGUUCUUGUCCAAAAGUUUUUUAAGAUUUAUGAAUAUUUAAAGAUUUUUGAAUAAGUUGAUUUUUAUAAUGAUGUAAAAAAAAGUAAAAGUCAAAGAAAAAAGUCAAAAGUCAAAAGUCAACUUAGUCAAACUUGAUCGAAAUUAGUCAAUUUUGAUCGAAACAUGGUCAAAUUCAAGGCAUUUGUAAGAAUCAAACAAAGAUAUUGGAUUCUUGAAAGCUUAAACAAAAUUUGAGUUUUGAGUAAAAAAAGGCAAAAUGACCAAAAUACCCAUGAUCAGUCAUCGAGUUAAAAUAGGUCAAGAUCUAUUAAGAUUACUUGGAAUGGGUCAAAUUUUUUUCAUAUCCUUAUGUUUAGAAAGAAAAUCUUAGGAAAAAUUGCAUUUUGAACUAAAAUGAUCAAAAUGCCCCAUGAUCAAAAUUGGUAAAAUUUAGCCAAAUUUUGUCAAACUCGGGUCAACCCUUGGAAUUCAUGAUUGAAUAAGAUUAUUAAGGUUUGGGAUUAAUAAAAUUAUGAUUUGGACAUUUAAAAAUCAUGUUGGACUUAAAAAAAGUGAAAUUACAAAAAUGUCAUUUAAAAUGUAUUUUCAUAAUUUGACCUUUUAGGGGUUGAUUUUUGUUAAAAACUCCAGAUCAUAUUUAAAUAUUAUUUUAUUAGUUUUGAUGCAUUAAAAAUCUUGAUUGAAUCUCAAAAUGGAUGAAAUUAUCAAAAUGCUUUUUAAGGGCAUUUUUAUAAUUUGGCCUUUAUGGAGUCAAUUUUUUCACACAAAGUUAUAGAUCAUAAUUAAAUAUUAUUUUAAAAUUUUUGGUACAUUAAAAUUAUGAAAAUAAAUAUUGGAUCAUAAGGUUAUAGCAAAAUCAUAGAAAAAGUUUAAAAAUGCUAAUUAGGGUAAAAUUAUCUUUUCACAUUAUGACAUCUGUACUAAUUGCUAAGUUAUGUACUAUAAUUUUUUUAGGCUCAUUAGAUUUCAAGGUAUGCUGAUCUUAUGGCCUAUAUUACAAGCCUUGGGGACCAAGUUUGUAAGAAAAAAAAAAUAAUAACAAUCAUUAAAUGCAUUUUAAUCCAAUAGUUAAUUAGGUGUUUUAAAAUUUUAAAUAGAAAAAUAUAGAGUUUUUUAGGUUCUCCUCUCUUUUUCCAUAAAAAAAAAAACUCCACUAUUAGAGAAUCUAUCGAAGAGGAAAAUUUCUUAUAGAAAAAAACCUCCCUUUAGGUAUAUUUCUCAACAUUUUCAUACAUUUGCAUACCCAUUUCAUGUAUUUCAUUUUACUUUUCUAGAUUCUUUUUAUAAGUUCAUCCUUGAUCUAUUUUUCUCAUGUUACUCGUUCCAUCUGGAGAAGAAAAAGAUUAUAAAAACAACAAAAUACUAUGGAAAGGAAGGUUUGGUUAUAGAUUUGAUCAUGGGUUUGAAUUUGCAAUAAAAUAAGAUUUAUGAGAUUGGAAAUAGUUAUAUGAUAAUUUUUAUGAUUCAAAAUUACAUAUUAAAAAAAGAAAUAAGGAAUUAAAAAAGGGGGAGAUUGAUGUUUCUCGCAGGCUUUUGAGAUGAUCAAUUUUGGAAAAAAAAAAAAAAAAGAGAGUGAAGGAAAUUUUGGACAAAAAAUAAAAUAGUCAGUUUCGAUAACCUGGUUUAUGGGGAGUUACAUUGUGGUGGGGUCACUAUAGCAUUGUUUUCAAAUGAAAAUUCUUUAAUUAGUGUUCAUUUUCCAUGUGCUUGAUCAAACAAAUAAAAAAGACCAUAUCACAUGAACAUAUUCCAUCAUAUAUAUAUUUUUAAUUGACCAAAUAGGUCAAUAUUGAAAGGCUCUUUUCCUACAUAAAGGAUUGAUCAGUCUGAAUUGCUUGAACUUCAGGCGUGAGAAAGGAUGGCCAUAGGCGGUGAAAAAAGCAAGAUUUUGAUAUUUGGUGCCACUGGCUAUCUUGGGAAAUACAUGGUGAAGGCAAGCGUGGCCUCGGGUCAUCCCACUUAUGCCUACACUCGCCCGCUCACUUACAACAACUCCUCCUCUUUCAAGUUAGAUCUUCUCAAGGACUUUGAAUCCAUGGGUGUCACCAUAUUCUAUGUAACUCCAUUUCUUUUCUUCUCAGUAAUUAUUAGUUUCAUAUUUACUUUUGGUUUUAUGGUAUUUCUCUCUAGCUUUUAUUCUUUUUCUUCACCGAUUUGAGUAUACAAUUGUGUUUUAAUUACUUGUUUUUCUUGAUCAUUGAUUUAAUUUGUUUUAUGUUAACACAGGGGGAGUUGGAUGAGCAUGAAAAGUUAGUUUCAGUGCUUCAACAGGUUGAGGUUGUGAUUUCCACACUAGCAGUCCCACAACAUCUUGACCAACUCAAAAUAAUAAGUGCCAUGAAAGAUGCUGGCACAAUAAAGGUCGUUACCCUUAAUCAAAGAAACUCAAAGUUUAAAAAUAUGUAUUUUCUACACUGAUUAGAGAUGUCCAUGGGUUUAACUAGACGGAAUUCAUAUCUACUUAAAUAUGAUAUUAACGUCUUAUGUGUUUGCUCAAAUUUAAUUUUAUCCAGUGAUUCAAAUCUUAAAUUUUGUCUAAAUAUAUCCAUACAACGUUAAAAAAUAAAAACUUAGCCUUUUUUAUUUAAUCUUUAAUAUUUUUAUUCUUAUAUUAAAUUUUAAAAUAUAGAUAUCUUAAUAUAUUUUUUAAUGUUUAUACUAUAAUAUUAUAUGUUUAUCAUUUAUAUAAUAUAAAUUAUAUAAUAUAUUAAUAGAAAAAUAAUACACAUGUUAUAUAAUUGUGGAUCAUGCCAAGCCGAUCGCAUCAAUGUUAAAAUUAAGGUUCGACUCGCUUUUGACAUAAUUUUUUUUCGUUCUUUUUUUCAAUCCGUUUAACGAACUUAAUAUUUUUGCUCGAUUUCUUUAAAUAUUAGAAGGAGCUUCAAUGUUAGAUGGACAACUCAGCUCUUGAAUAUAUCUAACAUUAUUAUUUUACUUCUUUUUAAUCAUGCUCUUGGAUUAUAUCUAUCUAAUAUUAAUUUAUACUUCUUUAUAAUUAUCCUCUUGAGUUGUAUCUAUGUUUAUAGGAACUGUAUAGUUAUGCUCUUGGAUUGUAUCUAUGUUUAUAUGCCCUUGCGACAUUUUUUUAAUAUUUCUUAAUUAUUUGAUGGUAACAAGUUUAUUGAGGUUGAAUGAAUCCGUAGCUAACAAGUUGUGAAAUAAUUGUAGAGGUUUGUGCCUUCAGAAUAUGGAAAUGAAGUAGACAGAAUAACAAGUGCACUUCCACCAUUUGAAGCUUUACUAGCUAACAAAAGGAAGAUCAGAAGGGCAGCAGAAGCAGCUGGACUCUCUUACACUUACGUUGCUGCAAAUACAUUUUUAGUCUAUUUUAUUGACUAUCUUCUUCACCCACAUGAGAAACCAAAUGAACUUGUGGUUUAUGGAACUGGCCAAGCCAAGGGUACGUACGUAUGUAACCUUAUUGGAAACAUCAACAUCAUUGUUGUCAGGCUAAAAACAAACUAUUCAAACCUAGGAAUCCUGCUGAUUGGGUUAAAAGAAAAAAAAAAAAAAAGCAAUGUACAAGUAACCAUAUAAAUUAUGCUGUUAUUUGACAUUGGUAACCAUCUCUUGCUUUGAAUAGUUAAAAGAAAAGUAAAAGUAAUCAUAGAAACUAUUUCGUUUUAUUUGAAGAUUUUAAUAUGUAAAUUUUUUAUUCAACAUGCAUGCAGUUGUGUUCAACUAUGAGGAAGAUAUUGCAGCCUUUACGGUAAAAGCAGCGACAGAUCCAAGGGUAGCCAAUCGCGUCAUCAUCUAUAGGCCGCCGGCAAAUGUUACUACUCAGUUGGAACUGAUUUCUGCAUGGGAGGAAAAGACUGGCCGAACCUUUAAAAGAGUUCAUGUUCCUGAAGAGGAAAUUAUAAAGCUCUCUGAGAGUAAGGCACUGAUUCCCUUAUGGAUCUCAUAUAUAUAUAUAUAUAUAUAUAUAUAUAUAUAUAUAUUGGACAUUGGGCAACAUUGAAAUAUGUUUCUUAUUAUUGUUUGGUAUAGCCUUGCCUUUCCCGGACAACAUUCCGGUGGCGGUUUUGCACAACAUAUUCAUCAAAGGAGAUCAAAUGACGUAUGAAUUGAUGGAAGAAGAUUUGGAGGCCUCUAAGCUAUAUCCUGACUACAGUUACACCACCAUUGAUAAGUAUCUUGAUAUGUGCGUGGUUAACCCUCCUCGCCCCAAAUUAGCUGCAUUCGCUUGAUCCAUAUAAAAAGAACUUAACAUUCAUGUUUGCAAGUGGUAAUCGUCAGUCGUCUGCAACCCUUUCUUCCUACCAUUUAUAAUUAUAAUAAUAAAUAUUAUGUUUAUAUUUAUGUAAUAAAGAUUAUGGAUUUAUGUUUCAUAUACUGUAAGUGAACCAUAUAAUGAUAUUUAAUAAAAAAUUAAUUUUAAAUAAUUUUUAGGAUAUAUUAAAUAUACUUACUUUUAAAAUUUUAUAACUAAUUUUUUAUGAGUUGUUACUGUGUGAUUCAGUAACAGUGAAUAGCACUUAUACAUUGAUAUAUAUUGAUAGUAUAUAAAAUAUAAACUCAACUAUUAUAUUUUGCUUGGGUUUAGCUAUGUAUUGAAGCUUGGAAGUAUAAGUAAUGUUUGAAUAGAAAUCUUAAGUUUAACCAAAUCAUACGUAUCAAUUACUUCUUUUUUGUAUUAAAAAAUUAUGCAACUUGACUUCUUCUACUUGCCAAAUGUGACAUCUGAUAUAUACAUAUAUUAAUAAUAAAAAAAGUUUGAGAUAAACUUGAUUAUAAAAAAAAAAAAGAUUAAAAAUAGAGACUUGAGCCGUCGGCGGCGGGCUCUGGUACUCAAGACCAUGAUCAGAAGGGCGUGGUUCCCUGGCCGUUGAUUCCCUGAUGAUGAGGACGAGAUGGUGAUGACGAUGGCAGCAGCAAUUCUUAUUGCGUGGAAAGAAGGUAUAGCUGAUUAUAGUUCUGUUUGCCUGUUCCAUAGAAAGAUACAUGCAGUAGAAUUCGACUAAGGAAGAUGAGCGACGUCGUUUGAGUGGUGAGAGUAACUUUAUUCUAUUAUUUUGUAGUCUACACUAAUUUGUCAGGAGGUGGAAUGUGGGAUACUAUUCACCCACGGGAAGCUCUUCGGUUGUACAUUUAACUGUUGAAAUAAUUAAAAAAUAUGUGUAUCAGAAUUAAUAUUUUUUAUACAUAAUAUUAUGAUAAAAUAAGAUUAUAAAUAAGAUUAAAUUAAAUAAUUUUAUUUUAUUUUAUAAUUAAUAUGUGUAAAAAUUAAAAUAAAAUAAUUUAUUUAUUGAUUAAAAUCAUCCUUACUCAAAAUGUAUAAUUUAGAUUAUUGAUAUAAUUGUUAAAAGUAUAAUAAUAAAUAUAAAUUCAAUCAUAUAAAUUAAAAAUAAUAUUUUUUAUUUCGGAAGAAUUAAAUUCUCUAUAUCAAAAAGAUGAUUAAUAUUCUUUAUAAUUCUAUUCAUUUCUUUAGAUACAAAUCAAAUAUUAUAUAAAAUUAUUAUCAUCCUAUUCUAUCUAUUAUCUCAUGCACCAAAUAUGAUACUAUCUUCUUAAAAUUUCAAUCUUUACUAAUUUUUUUGGGUAUCAUAAUUAAAAUAUAUUAUAAAUAUAUAAUUUAUAUUAACAAUUGUGUAAUCUAUUAAUAAAAUAUUAAAAUUUUAAUUUUAAUGAUUACAUUAAAAUUUUGAUAAUUUCAAAUAAAAAAAUACUUAUCUCAUAAAAAUAUUUAUGAUAAUUAAAAUAUACGUUUAAAAUCAUAAUGUCAUACUUGAUAUUAACCAUAAAUGCAAAGCAAAUAGAUGCUAUUAUCAAUAUUCUUGUGCUACAAAACAUAAUAUAUGUAAUUAAAUGAGAAAUUUUAGUUAAAUAAGAUAGAUUAAAUAAGUUUUAACCAGUUAAAUUUAUUAUUUUAUUUUGGUAUACAUGUUGAGAAUAAAUUGGACUUGACUUAUACAAUGGGAGGAAUUCCUCCUUGUCGAUAAAUCUCGCUCAUUCCACUUGAAUUCAAACUUUUAAACUCUAAUUGGUAGGAACAGGAUGCCCCAUACGCUGAUUUUAUUGUUCAUUUGUCCAACUAAUCACCAUGCUAGUUGAUUUGGCUGCUGCAUCAGUCCUUUUACCUCAAAUAAUGCCAUGUCAUUCGGCAAAUCUGUUGACAAAUUUUCAGUGGCUGACUUAUUCUUAUUCUGCCAUUUGUCCAAUGUUAAUUAGUCCACCAACAAGCCAUGUCAUUAUUUUUCUCAAAUCAUCUUAUCUUAGCACAUGCUUUUUAAUCAUAAUAUUAUGAAUGAUUUUUAAAUUAUAUUAAAAUAUUUAAUAUUAUAUCUAAAUUUUAAAAAUCGUUAAUUUUAUAUUUGUAUAAUAAAUUUAUUAACACAUGUAAUAUUUGGAUGGUUAUUAAUCUAUCACGUCUCAUCAUUUAAAAUUAGUUAUAUUAAGAGUGAAUACUAUAUGCAUAUUAGUUAAUAUAUUCAUAAUUUAUGUAUCAUAUUAAAAAUUUUUAAAAUUCAGAUACUAUAUUAAAUAUUUUAUUAUAAUUUUCAUAAUAUUAAUCCUUCUUUUGAAUUAAAAGAUUAUAUAUAUUUUUGAGUGUAAACGUUCUCCUCUAAAUACUUUCUCUUUUGGGAAAAAAAAAGGAAAAAAAGUAUUUAAAUUCAAAAACCUAUAUUUUCUAUCACAGUUUAGCUCAAUAAAUCAAUUAAUGGCAAUUCGAAUUUGAAUUAAACUCUUAAUCAAGCCACUUAAGUUUUCAAAUUUCAAUGUCAAUUGAUGUUUGGAUCAAUUGGCAAGAGGUUUUUGUUGACAUUUAAAUAUUAUGGGUUUGAACAAGUUUAUAUAUGUAGCAUCCCCUUCUUUAGUUGGAUAAGUAUAACGAGUAAGGGAUUUAGGUAGACUUGAUAAUUUAAAAUAUGAUACAAUGAUAUGACAUGAAAAUGAUAUAAAAUAAAACACAAAGAUAACAUAGUUUAAAAUAUUAAUAUUAACUAAUAUGAACUUAACAAAACAAAAAAAUAUAUUUUAUAUUUUCGUAUCAAUAUGAAUUAUAACACAUAAUUUUUGCAUAAAAUAUAGCUCGAAUACAUAAAUUUGAUUAUUUUAUACGACACGAAUACACGAAUCGUCAAGUUUAGAUUUAGGUGUAGAUUAGAAAAUUAAAAAAUUCUCCAAAUCUCACUUAAUUCCUAAUUAUUUUCUUCUCAUCUUUUAAUUUCUCUAUAACUCCACCUUUCCUCUCCUUAUCUCUUCCUUUAGCUUGAAUUUCUUUUCUUCCUUUCUCAAAAACAUGACCAGCCAGUUUUCCACCAUAGAUGAUUACAUAGUUGUGAACACAUAAUUUAUAUUUAUUUAUGAGUAUGUAAAUAUUAUUUUUGCAGCAUAGUAUAAAAUAAAUUUAGGUUUUAAAAUCAUUUAAAAUGUAAUUUAAUACAUUAAUAAUUAAUAUUAAUAAAAUAUUUUCAUUUUUAUUUAAAUUAAUUGUAUUCUUUUUAUAUAAUUUUUUAAUUAAAUUUAUCAUUUUGUGUCUGUAAAAUUAUUAUUCAAUCUAUUAUCUAACAAUUUUUACUUUCCUUUUUUUUUUCCUUUUCUCUCUCUCUCUCUCUCUCUCUCACUCUCUCUCUCUUUACCUAAACAAAAAGAAAAACUCACAUGAAAAUAGAAGUGGAAAAUCGGUCAAUUGGAUCAAAUUCAAGUUGGGUUAUUUCGAAUCAGAUCAUUUUGGUUUAAGAAAAAAUUGAAUCUUUUUAGAUUCGAAUUAUUUCAAGUUCAAAUUAGGUUGAGUUUGUUGGAUUUAAUAAACAAAUUUUUUGAAUGAUUUCCAAGACCUUCAGCAAAAUUUUACAUUUUUAAAUGAUUUUUAAAACCUCGAGGCAAAAUAAAAAUUUUUGAAAAUUUUCAAGACUUCUAUAUAUAAUUUAAAAUUUUGAAUGAUUUUCAAAGCUUUCAAGCAUAAUUUUAAAUUUUGUAAAUGAUUUUUAAGAUUUUUUUGUACAGAAUUUUAAAUUUUGUAAAUGAUUUUUAAGAUUUUGGAUAUAGUUUUUAAGUCUUCCAGUUAUGAUUCGUAAGUCUUCCAAGUUGAAUAUGCUUUGGUGUUGAGAUUUAAAAACCUUCAGAUAUAAUUUUUAAGUCCUUUAAGUAAGAUUUGUAAGUCUUUUUAAUUUAAUUCAUUUUAAUAUCGAGAUUUAUAAGAUCUUCUGGUUCAAUCGUGAGAAAAUUAUUGAAAAAAUGAGAAACAGAUAUGAUAUUAGUUAGAAGUGCUUUUUAAAAAGGAAUGUAUAAAGGAUUUUUAAAAUUUUCAAGUUAAAAAAUUUUAAACAAAUUUUAAAGACCUAUGGACAUCAUGAUGAGAAAAUUUGUUACAAAGACUUCCAAAUACUGAAAAUCGUAAUCAUUAAAACCUUAAGCAAUAUUAGUAAGUAUUUCAAGUAUAAUCUAUUUUAACGUCGAGAUUUAUAAGACAUCCAGGCACGAUUCAUAAGUUUUUCGAGUUAAAUCUGCUUUAGUAUUGAGAUUUGAAAAACUUUUGGGCAUAAUUUCCAAACAUUUUAAGAUUUUUUUUUUUAAAGUUUAAAAAUCUCUAUUUAAGAAGAGUCUUUCAAUGAUGAGACUUUUAAAAUUUUAUAACUUAUGUUUAGGAGGAACUUUUUAAAUGUGAGAUUUAAAGUUUUCAAGCUCUUAUUUAGAAAAAGUCUUUCAAAUAUGAGAUUUUUAAAAUUUUAAAUUUUCUAUUAAGAAAUGACCUUUUAAAGAUAAAAUUUUUUAUCUUUUUUUUUAAAGAAGAGUGUUAAAACAUCUGAUAAAAUAAUAUUAAAAAACAAAACAACAAAAAAAAAUUAAAAAAAAAUAACUAUAAGCCCUUAAUCCCAGUCAAAAUUGUUAUUUUUAUCUUUGAAUUAUUCAUGAUUCUAAAAAAUAUGCAAAGAGAGAUAAUUGUAAAAAUCUAAUUUUAUCUAGGUAUAUUUUAUUCAAUCGUGAUGUUUUUAAAAUUGAGACCCAGUUCUUGUCCAAGAUUUGUUUUAAGAAUUAAGAAUAUUUAAAAAAUUUUGAAUAAGUUGAUUUUUAUAGAAAUAAAAGAAAAAUAAUAACAAUUAAGGAAAAAAAUCUAAAGUCAACUUAGUCAAACUUGUUUGAAAUUGGUUGAUUUAAGUCGAAACAACGUCAAAAUCAAGGCAUUUUGUAAGAAUCAUACCAAGACAUUGGAUUGUUGAAAACUCUAAAAUAAAAUUUAAGUUUUGAGCAAAAAAGGACAACAUGAUCAAAAUACCCCUAAUAAGGCCCCGAGUCAAAGUAAGUUAGAUCGUUCAAGAUUUUUUCAAAUUGUUCAAAUAUUUUUCAAAUCCUUAUGCUUAGAAAGAAAAUCCUUGGAAAAUUUUAAUUUUGAGCUACAAUGACCAAAAUGCCUUAUGGUCAAACUUGGUCAAAUUUAAUUAAAUUUAAUCAAACUAGGGUCAACCCUUGGAAUUCACAAUUGAAUAGGAUUAUUAAGGUUUAAGAUUAAUAAAAUUAGGGUUUGGACAUUUAGAAAUCAUGUUUAACCUCAAAAGGGGUGAAAUUACAAAAAUACCCCUUUAAGGGCAUUUUUGAAAUUUGACUUUUUUUGGUUUUUGUUUUAAAAGAAAAACUUCAUAUCUUGUUUAAACAUUAUUUAUAAAUUUUGAUGCAUUAAAAAUCUUGAUUGAACUUCAAAAAGGGUGAAAUUACCAUUUGGCCUUUUUGGGAUAAAUUUUUCAUGAAAAAAUCUAUAUCAUAAUUAAACAUUAUUUUAUAAUUUUUGAUACAUUAAAAUUAUCAAAAUAAAUAUUGGAUCAGAAGAUUUUAGGAAAAUCAUAAAAAAAACUUAAAAACACUAAUAAGGACAAAAUUAUUUUUUCUCACUAAGACAGCUACACUAGAAACUAAUUAAGUUGUUUGUUAUAACUUUUUAGAGCUAUUAGAUUUUAAGGUACAAUGAUCUUAUGGCAUAGAUUGCAAGCCUUAGAUACCAAGUUUGUAAGAAAAAGAUAAAAUAAUAACAACCAUCGGAUGCAUCUUGAUUCGAUGAGGUGUUUUGACUUUUCAAAUAGAAAAAUAUAGGGUUAUGUUCUAAGUUCUCCGCUCUUUUUCCAGCCAACAAAACUUUAGAGAAGCUAUUAAAGAGGAAAUUUUUUUGUAGAAAAAAACCUCCCUUUAAGUAUAUUUCUCACCCUUUUCAUGUAUUUGCAUAUCCAGUUCAUAAAUUUCUUUUUACUUUUCUAGAUUCUUUUCAUAAGUUCAACUUUGAUAUAUUUUCUCAUCUUACCCAUUCCAUGAUAAUAUUUGGAGAAGAAACAGAUUAUAAAAACAACAAAGUACCAUGAAAAGGAAGAUUUAGUCAUGGGUUUGAAUUUGCAAUAAAAUAAGAUUUAGGAGAUUGAAAAUAGAUAUAUGAUAAUUUUUAUGAUUCAAAAUUACAUAUUAAAAACAAAGAAAUAAGGAAGAAAAAAAGGAGAGAGAUUGAUGUUUCUCGCAGGCUUUGACCAUAUAAUCAAUUAUAGAUAAAAAAAAAAAAUUGAGUGAAGGAAGUUUUGGACAAAAAGAAAAAAAUAUUCAAUUUCGAUAACCUGGAUUAUGGGGAGUUAAAAUGCGGAGGGGUAACUAUAGCAUUGUUUUCACAUGAAAAUUCUUUAAUUAAUUACUGGUCAUUUUCCCAUGAAUGGUCUUCCCAAAUAAUUCUUUUAUUGAUACAGAUUUUAUGAUCAAACAAAUAAAAAUGUUGACAUUGCAUCAUAUUCGAUCAAAUAUAUCUUUUUAAUUGGCCAAUUAGGCCAAUAUUCAACGGCUUUUUUCCUACAUAAAGGAUUGAUCAGUCUGAGUUGCUUGAAAUUAAGGUGUGAGAAAGGAUGGCCAUGGACGGUGAAAAGACCAAGAUUUUGAUAUUUGGUGCCACUGGCUACCUUGGGAGUUGGGAAAUACAUGGUGAAGGCAAGCGUGGCCUUGGGUCAUCCCACUUAUGCCUACGCCCGCCCACUCACUCACAAUAACUCCUCCUCUUUCAAGUUAAGAUCUUCUGAAGGACUUUGAAUCAUGGGUGUCACCAUAUUCGAUGUAACUUCAUUGCUUUUCUUCUCAGUAUUUAUUAUUUUCGUAUUUAAUUUUUGUUUUAAGCUAUUUUUCUCUUGUUUGUUCUUUUUCUUCACCAAAUUAAGUAUAAAAUUGUGUUUUAAUUACUUUUUUUUUCUUGGUCAUUGAUUUAAUUUGUUUUAUGUUAACACAGGAGGAGUUGGAUAAGCAUGAAAAGUUAGUUUCAGUGCUUCAAUGGUUGAGGUUGUGAUUUUUACUCUAGCAGUCCCACAACAUCUUGACCAACUCAAAAUAAUAACAGCCGGCACAAUAAAGGUUAUUACUCUUAAUCAAAGAAACUCAAUGUUUAAAAAAUAUUUAUUUUUUAUACUAAUUAGAGAUGUCUAUGGGUUUAAUUAGAUUGGGUUCAUAUCGGCUUAAAUAUGAUAUUAAUGUCUUAUAUGUUUAUUCAAAUUUAAUUUUAUCCAAUAAUUUAAAUUUUAAAUUUUGUCUAAAUAUAUCCAUAUACCGUUAAAAAAUAAAAACAUAGCGUUUUUUAUUUAAUCUUAGUAUUUUUAUUUUUUAUUAAGUUUUAAAAUAUGGAUAUCUUAAUAUAUUUUUUAAUGUUUACACUAUAAUAUUAUAUAUUUAUCAUUUAUAUAAUAUAAAUAUAAAUAUAAUACACAUAUUAUAUAAUUGUCAGAUCAUGCCAAGCCAAUCUCAUCAAUGUUAAAAUUCUUUUUUUUUAUAUUUAAAUUCAUUUAACGAAUUUAAUAUUUUUACUCUAUUUCUUUAAAUAUUGAACGGAGCUUCAAUGUUAGAGGGAUAAUUCAGCUCCUGGAUAUAUCUAAUAUUAAUAUUACACUUUUUUUUUAAUCAUGCUCUUGGAUUAUAUCUAUCUAAUAUUAAUUAUGCUUCUUUAAAAUUAUGCUCUUGGAUUGUAUCUAUAUUUAUAUGAACUGUAUAGUUAUUUUAUUAUUUUUUUCAUAUAUGCAAAGAAGUUUAAAAAAUACGGGUAACAUUCCUUGGGACAAUUUUUUUUUUAACAUUUCUUUAUUAUUUUAUGGUAACAAGUUUAUUGAGGUUGAAUGAAUCCGUAGCUAACAAGUUGUGAAAUAAUUGUAGAGGUUUGUGCCAUCAGACUAUGGAAAUGAAGUAGACAGAAUAACAAGUGCACUUCCACCAUUUGAAGUUUUACUAGCUAACAAAAGGAAGAUCAGAAGGGCAGCAGAAGCAGUUGGACUCUCUUACACUUACGUUGCUGCAAAUACAUUUUUAGUAUAUUUUAUUGACUGUCUUCUUCACCCACAUGAGUAACCAAAUGAACUUGUGGUUUAUGGGACUGGCCAAGUCAAGGUUAAGUACGUAUGUAACCUUAUUGGAAAUUGUAGACAUCGGUUUUGUCUGGAUCUACUGUUUUCAUUUCAGUAUAAUAUUAAUAAUUUUAAUAAUAAUAAUAAUAAUUUUAAAAAAUAAAUAAUAAUUAAUUAUAUAAAUAAAUAAUAAAUAAAUAAAUAACAAAAAAAUAAAAAAAGAGAAAAAGUAGGGUGGCUGGCACUGCUGUCGCCCCCAACUAGCCACCCUACAGCCCUCUGUUGCAGCCCCCGACCAACCACCCUACAGCCCUCUGUUCAGCACACCUACAACCACAUUACAGCUACCCAGAUCCCCUUUUGAACCCCUUAAAAACUCUCAACUUCUUCCCUUACACUCUUUCGGACCUCCUCUCAAAAAACUCUCUUGAACCCCCCUCUCAAAAGCUCUCUCGGACGCCCAGGAGCCUAUUCACUUCACCCCUACC